GAUGAACGCUGGCGGCGUGCCUAAUACAUGCAAGUCGAGCGAACGGACGAGAAGCUUGCUUCUCUGAUGUUAGCGGCGGACGGGUGAGUAACACGUGGAUAACCUACCUAUAAGACUGGGAUAACUUCGGGAAACCGUAGCUAAUACUGGAUAAUAUUUUGAACCGCAUGGUUCAAAAGUGAAAGACGGUCUUGCCGUCACUUAUAGAUGGAUCCGCGCUGCAUUAGCUAGUUGGUAAGGUAACGGCUUACCAAGGCAACGAUGCAUAGUCGACCGGAGUGUGUGACCGGCCACACUGGAACUGGAACACGGUCCUUACUCCUACGGGAGGCAACAGUAGGUAAGUUUCCGCAAUGGGCGAGAGUCUGACUGAGCAACGCCGCGUGAGUGAUGAAGGUCUUCUGAUCGUAAAACUUUGUGAUUAGGGAAGAACAUAUGUGUAAGUAACUGUGCACAUCUUGACGGUACCUAAUCAGAAAGCCACGGCUAACUACGUG
rnacentral:rRNA from 1 species